rnacentral:rRNA from 1 species
UAGGGAAUCUUCGGCAAUGGACAAAAGUCUGACCGAGCAACGCCGCGUGAGUGAAGAAGGUUUUCGGAUCGUAAAACUCUGUUGUUAGAGAAGAACAAGGACGUUAGUAACUGAACGUCCCCUGACGGUAUCUAACCAGAAAGCCACGGCUAACUACGUGCCAGCAGCCGCGGUAAUACGUAGGAGGCAAGCGUUGUCCGGAUUUAUUGGGCGUAAAGCGAGCGCAGGCGGUUUCUUAAGUCUGAUGUGAAAGCCCCCGGCUCAACCGGGGAGGGUCAUUGGAAACUGGGAGACUUGAGUGCAGAAGAGGAGAGUGGAAUUCCAUGUGUAGCGGUGAAAUGCGUAGAUAUAUGGAGGAACACCAGUGGCGAAGGCGGCUCUCUGGUCUGUAACUGACGCUGAGGCUCGAAAGCGUGGGGAGCAAACAGG